AACACAGGUGACACCCAUCCCGAGGGGGAUU
rnacentral:sRNA from 1 species